CCGUAAACGAUGGGUGCUAGUUGUUAAGAGGUUUCCGCCUCCUAGUGACGUAGCAAACGCAUUAAGCACCCCGCCUGAGGAGUACGGCCGCAAGGCUAAAACUUAAAGGAAUUGACGGGGACCCGCACAAGCGGUGGAGCAUGUGGUUUAAUUCGAAGAUACGCGAAAAACCUUACCAGGUCUUGACAUACCAAUGAUCGCUUUUGUAAUGAAAGCUUUUCUUCGGAACAUUGGAUACAGGUGGUGCAUGGUCGUCGUCAGCUCGUGUCGUGAGAUGUUGGGUUAAGUCCCGCAACGAGCGCAACCCUUGUUAUUAGUUGCCAGCAUUUAGUUGGGCACUCUAAUGAGACUGCCGGUGAUAAACCGGAGGAAGGUGGGGACGACGUCAGAUCAUCAUGCCCCUUAUGACCUGGGCAACACACGUGCUACAAUGGGAAGUACAACGAGUCGCAAACCGGCGACGGUAAGCUAAUCUCUUAAAACUUCUCUCAGUUCGGACUGGAGUCUGCAACUCGACUCCACGAAGGCGGAAUCGCUAGUAAUCGCGAAUCAGCAUGUCGCGGUGAAUACGUUCCCGGGUCUUGUACACACCGCCCGUCAAAUCAUGGGAGUCGGAAGUACCCAAAGUCGCUUGGCUA
rnacentral:rRNA from 1 species